rnacentral:lncRNA from 1 species
CAGAGGUCAGAGCUGAAGGUUUCUGCUAGAAGCAAGCUAUAUACAGAGACCUCUGGGAAAAGUGAACAGGAUCUCCCUGUUAAUGUUGAUCUCCACUCCUUGCCAUUAAUUGUGAAAGCCAUCAUAUUACAACAGUAUAGCUCAAUUUCAACCUUGAACCUGGAGUACUCCAAAUCCAAAGGUGGGAUUCAGCAACUGAGACAAUAACCAUUAUAUGCUUCCACGAUGAAGUUAUACAUCUAUAUCACUGAUUGACUUGGUGGUAAAUUUGAAAUGUUUGCCAUUAUUGGGUUUCUUUAGUUUUUGUUCAAAGCACUUAAAGAUAAGGUUUAGUCUGGUUUUUGUUGCUGGUCUCAGAAAACUAAACCUGCCAGAAGGUAGAUGAGUCAAAGAAGUAAAUCUGUGAAAGAGGUAAUUAGAACAAUCAG